rfam:Gossypium raimondii chromosome 12, whole genome shotgun sequence.
UCAGUGGAGUUUUUAGACUCCAUAAACAGGAUCAAGACAUUUUUA